CAAGCGCGGAGGGAGGGGAGCACGGGAGCCCCAAGGGAGGCGGAGCAGCGGCAGGUGGCGUGGAGGUUGGAGAUCUUGGUGAGGACGGCGCGACGCGAGGUCAUGGUGGCAUGUGUCGGAGCAGUGGUAGGUGGCGUGUGCAGAAAAUGAGUGACAAGGAUGAUGAGAAUAAAGGGAGUGCAAUGUGGUUAUUGAAGAAGGGCAAGGAAGAGGAAGACACAUGUUAGUCGGGUGAAGUCAGCAGCGAUCGCUAUCCGUGAUGUUAUUGGCCAAAUAGGUUGUCUAAACAUUUUGCUAGGUCUCCCUCAGGGAUGAUGGUGUAACCUUGUUUCAAGUAGAUAAACAGAAGUGGGCUAAAAGAGUGUCAUAUUACAACAGAUCAGUUGGUGUGAAACUAGAUGUUGGACUAAUACGUAAUGUAAUGGGCAUGAAUGCAUUCUUUUGA